UUUUUUCUCUCUAUUCUUCUUCUUCUUCCUUGAAAUUCUUCUUUCUAACUUCUUUUCUUUUUCCUUUUUUGAAAUUCUUCUAUCUUCUUUUCUUGUUUCCUCCUAAAAGUUCUUUUUCCCAUCCAUCUAUUUCCUUUUCUUGAGAAACAGCACCGUCCCUAUCAAUUUUCUGUUCUUUGUUUCUUCUUCCCUGUUUGGUGUUGCAACCUUAACCAUGCAAAUACAAUCUUGGGAACAAAAGAUUAACAGAAGAUUAAAAAGACAGGGAGAGUCAAUGGAUCAAAAAUUAGAAAAAUUGGAGAAAUUGUUUCAAGAGAAAAUAGAAAGGUUGGAGAAAUCAAUUCAAGUUGCACAACCCAAAGAUCAGUCUCAAGAUUUGGAGCAGAAAUUCCAAAUUCCAGAGGGUUAAUAGAAAGUGAAAAGAAUUCUCAACACACAAAUGAGCAUCAAAGAAAAAUUCAGCAAAACAAUUCCAGCAGAAAGGUUGAAUCAGGAAAAAUAAUUGAAGAUUCGCACAUCAAACUGAAACCUUCAAAUCAAGAUGAUCAUGGUAUUAUUCUUGCCUUCAAAUCUAUUAAAGUUUCAGAAAAAAAAUCAUUUGUGGUGUCAUUUAAAGAAAUUGAGUUUGUACAAGUCAUAAGUAGGAUUCUUUCAUUGCUGAGAUUCUUGGGAACGUUUUUCAUAAAGAAAAAAAUUAAGGGAGUUGAAGGAAUUGGGAAUAUUGCAAGGAAGUGGCAGCAUUGUGAGGACUGAUUGUAAGUUCAGCUGCUGCGAUUGUAUAAUUCUCAUGCAAGACAAAUGGCAGAUAUUAAGAAGAUAGAAA
rnacentral:misc_RNA from 1 species